GUUUGAUCCUGGCUCAGAACGAACGCUGGCGGCAGGCCUAACACAUGCAAGUCGAACGCUCGUAGCAAUACGGGAGUGGCAGACGGGUGCGUAACGCGUGGGAACAUACCCUUUGGUUCGGAAUAACUCAGGGAAACUUGAGCUAAUACCGGAUACGCCCGAGAGGGGAAAGAUUUAUUGCCGAAGGAUUGGCCCGCGUCUGAUUAGCUGGUUGGUAGGGUAACGGCCUACCAAGGCGACGAUCAGUAGCUGGUCUGAGAGGAUGAUCAGCCACACUGGGACUGAGACACGGCCCAGACUCCUACGGGAGGCAGCAGUGGGGAAUAUUGGACAAUGGGCGCAAGCCUGACUCCACGCCAUCGCCGCGUGAGUGAUGACGGUCCGUUAGGGUUAGUAAAGUCUU
rnacentral:rRNA from 1 species